rnacentral:snRNA from 1 species
GGAUGUGAGGGCGAUCUGGGUGCGACAUCCGUCACCCCAGUGAUUGCCUGGGUUGAUUCGGCUGGCUAGGCGGGUGUCCCCUUCCUCCCUCGACGAUCCACGUGCGUCCCUCCCGAAGCUGCACGCUGGUCAUAGAGGACGACCACCCCCGAUCGAGGAGGACCGUUCCUCCGUCCCGGGUAUAUGAGUAGCGGCGCUCUGCUGCCACAACCUCCAGACAGAAACAAUCAGCUAGAACUGCAUUUGAGGUCGCCACAUAGUCUUAUAGGAACAAAAAUACCUAGGCUUCAGUUGUUACGCAGAGUUGGAA